UAGACAGAAGUCCUUUUUCAUCGGUAGCGUCGGAGUGUAAGGUGAUAAUUAUUGCGUUGCAGUUUUAAUCCGUUGCAUCUUGUUGUGUUUAUUGUACAAAAUUGUUUAUUGGGAUCCGUUGCAAGACAGUAACUACUGCGUAGUAAUUCUGAGAUGAUUUUGGAAUGUUUUGCGCGUAAUUGGAAAAACGGGGAGAACUAAGUUCUGCGCUGUCACUAGUUGCUCGUCAUUUAUUAGGCAGAGAAGUUUAAAAUUUGUGAUGCUGUGCGGUGCAAACAGCCGGAUCUGUGGGCAGCAAAAACCUGGCAGCUCCAUCAUGACAAUGCACCCGCCCGUUCUGUGCAUCUGAUUCAGACUUUCGUCGCCAAACACAACAUCCCUCUGCGUGCAUUACCAAGGAGGGUGCUGCAGUGAAUACCUGGCAACCGCUGUGUUUGUUGAGCAGAUUGACAACCACUCUGAUAGUUUCAGUGGGAAGGGACCAAAGGAGACAACUGCAUUGUCCACUCAGUGAUAACAGUCCCCAUAUAGAGCACUGGGAAAAGGCAAAUAUGGGGAUGAAUGGUUGGAUCUUCCUCAAGGAUGGUAAACCUGCCUUUCUUCAUCGUCCUCCACAGACUAUUUGGCUUAUUGACUUUUCUGCUACCCAACACAUGUGGAGAACUGUGAAAGAGUCGUGUUUCAAGUAGGAUAUAUGUGUACCUUCACACCCAGAACCUGACUCAGAAUCCCGAGAACAAAUUUGGGCCAUUCGUACUGUGUUUCAAGCAAUAAGUGGGUCAGUUUGUAGAUGCACUGAAGACUAGCGACAUCAGUGGCCUUUGUUUUAGAGGUCUGGGUGAAACUAAUUGUUAAUAAUUGUGAGGAUGAUGGUGCUACUCAUCUGGAUAACUGGCAGUCAUUGUUCCGGGCACCUGAUGCUUCUUCACAAAAUCCUUCCACAAGUCAUGGCAAGGAAACCCCUGAUGAUGUUCCUGAGACAUUCCAUGUUUCUCAGCAAGUACAGAAGGACAUGAGUCCUGCAGUAUCUGCUAGUGACAUGGAAAUGUUCUCAGUAGCCUAUGUCAGUGGUUCCAUUGCCAGACAGGUGCUUUGUGGUGUCACCUGUGAUGUGUCACCUGACAUCUGAAGUGCUGCUAUCAGCCAAUGUCUUCAUAUAUUUCAAGGAGUGCAGUGAUACAGAACAGUCUCUCACCUAUCCUUCUGAGAAGCUAGUGGAGGCUGUUGGUAUUGCUGUAACUCUGAUGGAGUGUAUAAUGGCAGAGGCUGCCCACUUGAAUUCAGUGGAGCAGCAUAUCACAGCUGCCAUGAAGAGCACCCUUGACUUCGAGCGGAUUAGGUGUAUUGGCUGUUCACUUCACCACCAAUGAAUAGUAGAUUGUAUUGUGAGAUGUCUCACAAGAAUUUACAUUCCUUGGUGGUAUAAGCGAAGAAACAGGUUGAUGGCUGAAGCAGCCAGGCAGAGGGCCAAAGAGAGGAAGAUGAAGAUACUGUCUCAUCAGUAAGUCAGGAAAGCAAUGCUUCUUCAUUUUUCCCUUAUAAUGUCCUGCCCAUACCAACCCUGGAAAUUGACAGAGAGCAGUUAUGAAAUUACUGGAAGAAUAUUUGGGAACUAGAUCAGAUGUUUCAUAAGUUGGAGAAAGUAACACUGGUGACAAGCAGCUGCAGUGGAGCAACAGAAAUUACCAAGUAAUCACAUGCACUUGCCUUAGAGCUGUGGUAUUGAGUACGUUGUUGACAACAUCAGCAUCAACCUUCAUGGAUUACAUACGAGGAGCCUAUUAUGAACUUGAGCUACACCUCUUCCCUGCUUUGCAGAAGGUUCUUUUGUCUCAGUAUAUUAGAAUUCUGCCGUCAGAAAACGGUCAGAUUUAAUUCUGCCCUUUAUCUGCAAGGAAGUAUAUUUUGAUGGAGAAUUAUGGGAAAAGUUAUUUUCUGACACAUGGUUCUUGUGUAUAUGUAGGUAAACAUGAAACGGUGUUACUUUAUAACUGAUUUGCAGUAUUCAGGUUACCUGUUUCAGCUUUAAACUCCGAGGAACAGAAUCAUUAUCAGGAUUCACUAUGGGUAGGACAUUUUAGAUAUACUACUGUUUUAGAUAAUUAUUUACCUAUUUCAUUAUUUUCGGUAUAUUCUUCCGUUUUAUUGUAACAUAUAUUUCUAAUUUUUGCAAUUUGAUCCUGUCCAUUCCUGUAGUGGAAGAUGAAUAUCAGAUUUCCAGUAUUCUGUAAGGUGUGUUAUAUUUGCCAUUUAAUCUUGUCAAUUAGUGUAAGGGGAGAUAAAUAUCACAUUUCCAGUAUCUGUAAAAUAUUUUGUCAUUUCAGAUUUUCAUUAUUCAUUAUAAUUCUAUAAGAUAUUUUUACUGUAUAUUCUAGUUUAGUACUGGUGAAGUUAAAUGUAUCACAUUUUCAUACAUCAUUAAAUGUAAUCUUGUUGA